AGCCGCCGCGGUAAUACGAAGGGACCUAGCGUAGUUCGGAAUUACUGGGCUUAAAGAGUUCGUAGGUGGUUGAAAAAGUUGGUGGUGAAAUCCCAGAGCUUAACUCUGGAACUGCCAUCAAAACUUUUCAGCUAGAGUAUGAUAGAGGAAAGCAGAAUUUCUAGUGUAGAGGUGAAAUUCGUAGAUAUUAGAAAGAAUACCAAUUGCGAAGGCAGCUUUCUGGAUCAUUACUGACACUGAGGAACGAAAGCAUGGGUAGCGAAGAGGAUUAGAUACCCUCGUAGUCCAUGCCGUAAACGAUGUGUGUUAGACGUUGGAAAUUUAUUUUCAGUGUCGCAGCGAAAGCGAUAAACACACCGCCUGGGGAGUACGACCGCAAGGUUAAAACUCAAAUGAAUUGACGGGGACCCGCACAAGUAGUGGAGCAUGUGGUUUAAUUCGAAGAUACGCGCAGAACCUUACCAACACUUGACAUGUUCGUCGCGACUUUAAGAGAUUAAAGUUUUCGGUUCGGCCGGACGAAACACAGGUGCUGCAUGGCUGUCGUCAGCUCGUGUCGUGAGAUGUUGGGUUAAGUCCCGCAACGAGCGCAACCCUCACUUUUAGUUGCCAUCAUUAAGUUGGGCACUCUGAAAGAACUGCCAGUGAUAAGCUGGAGGAAGGUGGGGAUGACGUCAAGUCCUCAUGGCCCUUACGUGUUGGGCUACACACGUGCUACAAUGGUAUCUACAACAGGAAGCAAAACGGCGACGUUAAGCAAAUCCUUAAAAGAUACCUCAGUUCGGAUUGCACUCUGCAACUCGAGUGCAUGAAGCUGGAAUUACUAGUAAUCGUGGAUCAGCGUGCCACGGUGAAUGCGUUCCCGGGUCUUGUACACACCGCCCGUCACACCAUGGGAGUUGGUUCUACCUUAAGGCAAGGUUUCAAACCCUUGACCACGGUAUAGUCAGCGACUGGGGUGAAGUCGUAACAAGGUAGCCG
rnacentral:rRNA from 1 species